rnacentral:lncRNA from 1 species
GUGCGUGAGAGGCGCCUGGGCGCAGGCGCAGACGACGGGGGUCGAGUUGGGCAGGCGGUAGGGGCGACCUGGGAGAAGGUCCCUGCUGCAGACGUGGAAAUGCAUCUUGUUCCAGUACAUCACAUUCCAGGGAGCAAAGAAUUCUUUUACAAAGCCGGGUGUCAUCAUUUUCUUAGAAGAAGAACCAUUGCAACAGGGCUCAAAGUUGACUCUGCUGGAAAGAGAAACUUGACCGAGCACUUGCCGUGCUUCAGGCAUCGUUCAAGGCAACAGGGUUAUGGUCUUGAAUAGGAGAGACAGAGUUCUCAUCUCUAGACAGACUGGCAGUAAGCCCGAAAAUAGAUCAAUACACAAUAUAAUUUCAGAUAGUGACUUUUUGCUACAAAGCCAAAAGUAAAUUAAGGUGAACAGAUAGCGUAUUUUUAGAGGGGGUGCUACUUGAGAUACAGACGCGAGGCUUAUAUCUUACUCAUGCAACCUGCCUUUCGAAUGGAGCUGGAGUGCUGUACUUUGCAUUGUUCUCAUCUCAGGACUGUCAGACAUUAUAGAACAAAGGAGAGAACUGGCAGUACUUGCACUGUCUCUUAAAGCUUCAG